rnacentral:rRNA from 1 species
AUUGAACGCUGGCGGCAGGCCUAACACAUGCAAGUCGAACGAGUGGCGGACGGGUGAGUAAUGUCUGGGAAACUGCCUGAUGGAGGGGGAUAACUACUGGAAACGGUAGCUAAUACCGCAUACCAUCAGAUGUGCCCAGAUGGGAUUAGCUAGGAGGUGGGGUAACGGCUCACCUAGGCGACGAUCCCUAGCUGGUCUGAGAGGAUGACGAGCAACACUGGAACUGGGACACGGUCCAGCCUCCUACGGGAGGCAGCAGUGGGGAAUAUUCGACAAGGGGCGCAAGCCUGAUGCAGCCAUGCCGCGUGUGUGAAGAAGGCCUUCGGGUUGUAAAGCACUUUCAGCGGGGAGGCGUUACCCGCAGAAGAAGCACCGGCUAACUCCGUGCCAGCCGCCGCGGUAAUAC